CGCUAACAACCAAACUAUUGUGCUCAAGAUCAGUUCUGUUUUACCUGAUGCGCGCUUUCUUUUUUCUUCUCCUGAUUGAAGUUGCUGGCCCCUGAAAUUUGGAACUUGAUGAUACUAUAUUCUUCAGUGUUGAAGGAUAUAGACGGAGACACAAAAGAAACUUAUCUGGUUAGUUGAAGAAUGUAGAAGAAGAUUCUGUUGACUGGAGCACCUACAAGCUAUGGAAUUAGAUUUUUUAAAAAAAAAAAAAAAAUAGUGGAGAUAGAUGGUCCUUGGGGAUUGUUUGGAGGGAAGGAAUGGAAUAAGGAAUACAUUCUGUUUUGUCUGCUUCAGUAAGUUUGGUACUUAUUCAGCCACACAUUGUAAAAUAGAUGAAAGAGGGCCCCUAAACUUUUUCAUUCUUCAAUUGGCAUAAGACAGCUGGUCCUGCACCGACGAAUCCUAAGCAACUGGGACCCAAUAAAAAGAAAUAAAGAAGAGUUGUACUUGCUUCCAUACUUGCAUUUGAUGAUAACCAUGACAAGUCAUUGCCUGAAGAGGACCACUUGCCUUGCCCUUGACUCCUGCCUUGGCUUUGGAGAUUCUCUUCUGUAGGAGGUGGGCUGUUCCUUUAUUAAGACUUAGCAGGGUUGAAGCUUUGCAUCUCCUGAUUUAUCAUAUAUAAUUGUUGACCAGGGAUGCCCCCCAAAAUAAGAAAGAGAAAAAGGAAAAAAAAAAAAAAAAAGAC